rnacentral:lncRNA from 1 species
CUACCCCGGGAAGCUGCACUUUGAAAGGGAAGAGUUGCAAUCCUGCUGGGCUUGGCACAAGGCGGUAGCGGGGAACAGGAAGGAGCUGAGCUUACCAGCCCAUGUGGGAUGGAGGGGCCCACCCCAGUCCCCAGACUCUCUAGGCGAAAGGCCUCAGUUUCAUUUUCUGCGAAAAGGAGGACUCUGCUUCCUUCACAGGCAUGGAUUGCGGCUAGCUGGACACUGGGCCCUCCGCUGGCACUGUGGUCACUGCUGGCCCCAGUGCCACCAAUGCCACAGGACACUGGAUGCCAUAGCCACCAACUCCACCAGAAGGAGUUCCGAUUAUGUUGUUCAGUCUGGAUUUAGAAGUCUCAGGAUACAAACCAGGACCAACCAGGACCAAUCAGGACCAAUCAGGAAAAGUCUGGAAGGGUCCCAAACUUGGAACUUCUGUGUCCUCUCCACAUGGAACCCAGGGCGCACUCGACCCUCUCAGCGCAUCAAUGUGUUCACCUGCCAGGAAGUUCACCCAAGCCUCAGUGUCCAGAGUUUUUCUUGGGGUUUCAUUACAUAAGCAUGGUUAACUGAAUCCCUGGCCAUGUGAUUGAACUCAGUCUUUCUCAGUUGAACCCACCCCUCUGGACUGAUAUCACGUGGCUCAAAGCCCCAACUCUCUAAGCACAUGGUUGAUCUUUCUGACAUUGCCAGCCCCCAUCCUGAAUCUAUCUAGGACCCACCAGGAGUCACCUCAGUAGCAUAAACUCAAGUGUGUUCCCGGGGGCCCACUGUGAAUAACAAAUCCCAAGAGUUUAGAAGCUUCAUCCCAGGAAUCCAGGACAAAGACCAGAUAAAUCAUUAUACAACAAUAUCCCAUAGCAUGGCUGUCACAAGGCUGAAACAUUUAAGCUGGAUCUGACUAAAGGCUAACACUGUGAUGGCUAGAGUUUCCCUUGGAUCCCAACCUGCUGUGAUCUUAGUGACAGCCUAGUGUGCUGUGUGGAGGAUUCUGAAGCCACUUCCAGGAUUAAUUGGAAGGAGGGACAUGAUCAACUAGUCAUGACAGCCCUGGAAUAGAAGGGCAUUGGAAGGGGAGAGUGAGAGUGUGCAUGUGGGGUACUUGCUAACGCUGGGCUAAGGAUUAAAAAAAAAAAGGAAAAACCAUUUGCUGUUUGCUAAUGAAGACUUGCUCUUUAGAACAUGUAAGACCCAUCCCACUUCAGCUCCUGUCCUAAUGCCAUGUAGUGGGUGCCAUGUUUAACCCUUACCACACAAGAGGUCAUGUCUUUUUAUUUCUUCUCCUCAAAAUCUAGACUCAUGAAAGGGAGACUCAGAGAGAGAUGAGCGUGCCUUGGCUGCCCCCUGAAUUCU